rnacentral:lncRNA from 1 species
UUCCUCUGUACUAUUAAGUUUAAUCACAAUUAACCUGCUAACCUCCUUUAUUAGCUCUAGCAAGGGUUUCUGGGUUUUGUUUUGUUUGCUUUUGGUGCUGAGGGUGGAGCGCCAGGAAGCCUGCAGGCAGAGGUCUGUGCGCCCCUGUUGCGCUCCCUCCUGAGCUGUGCUCAGCCCCAGCUGGGUGUUUUGGGUCAUGAGCGUCAAAGGCGGCUCAAAGGUCAAAGGCGGCUUCCCUGUCCCCUCUCUAGUCUGGCUGCCUUUCUGUUCCUUGCUUCAGGAGCCAGAACCUCCAGCGUGGGACGCGGCAGGACUGGCCAGGGCAGACACAGCAGCUCCUGGUCACGCCUGACGGCUCUCGCCUUCCGGGUCACUGUGCCGUCACUGUCACUGCGUCACUGUGGGACUUUCACAGAUGCCCCACGCCAGGUGAGGAGGCCCCCUCCUGUCCUAGUUUGCUGGAGGUUUUCUUUUGUUUGCAAUUUUUUGUUUGUUUAUUUUUUUAAGUCGGGAAUGUUUUUUUUUUAAGAUGGACACAAUAUCUUUAUUUAUUUUAUUUAUUAUUUUUUUAGGUGGUGCUGAGGAUCAAACCCAGUACCUCACAAGUGUGAGGCAAACGCUCUACCACGGAGCCACAACCCCAGCCCCAGGAAUGGAUUUUGCCAAAUGCUUUUGUUUUUAGUUUUUUGCAUCUAUUUUGAGAUAAUCACCUGUUUUUUCCCCCUCUGUUAGGAAUUGCAUUGAUUGCUUUCCAAAUGUUAAGCCAACCUUUGUUCCUGAGAUGGACUCCAUCUGGUCAAGCUGAAUUGUCCUCUUAAUAUAUCAUUGAAUUUGAUUUGCU